UUUACUGCUUAUUUCUCGAGAAAAAUUAAAUACAGAUCUUUUUGUGAGGAGAACGAACGCAUCUUAAAAUCGAUGGCACCCGCAGCAGAUAUCGAGGAUGAGAUCAAGGACGAGAAGAACCCUCCCCCACUUGAUGAAGAUGAUUCAAGUAAUUCGUCAAACAAUCUGAAAAUCGAUGGCACCCGCAGCAGAUAUCGAGGAUGAGAUCAAGGACGAGAAGAACCCUCCCCCACUUGAUGAAGAUGAUAUUGCUCUUCUCAAGACUUAUGUACUCAUUUAUAACCCUAACUUCUUGCAUUCCUGAUUUUUUUCCUGUUUUCUUUGAGUUAUUAAUUCUUCAUUACUGACUAUUGAGAUAAUAUCGCGAAUUUUGCAGAAUUAUAUUAUUGUUACUGCUGUUGUUUUGUUCAGCUGGUAUAGAAUCUGAUGAACAGUAAUGAGUUAGGAGUUUUUUGAAGAAUUUGAUGAACACUAUACUUGGACUUGUUAGAAGAGUUUGGAGAUUUGUAGUUUCUAUCUUAGUGGCAGGUGUUGGACUGUUGUAACUCAGUACCAUUUUGAUACCUUUCGAAUAAAAGUAUCUGACUUAACAAAAAAACGAAUUUGAUGAACACUAAAGCUAGUAACAACCUCUAAAGUUAUGUUUGGUGUAUUACCAGGGGUUUGGGGGUUGGGAACCAGAAAAUUUCAAUCAUUGGGCUGCCUUUGUCGCCUCGUUAACAAGCCCUUGAGCAGUUGUGUGUGCUUGAAUGAGUAUGCAGCCAUGUAACUGUUAAAUCCCUUGUGACUCUCAACCUGAUUGUUCAUGGUAUAAACUAAUUUUUUAUGGUCGAGAGGUCCAUAAUUUUACUUUUAUUGUUUAUAUUUACUCUUUCUUCUUUUUCUUUUUGGGAUGCUUCACUUUUGUAUUUUGCAGCUUAGAAUUGAUUUAAACUCAAAUUCAAGUCCUUUCCAAUCACUUGUAGCUAUGAAAAAACCAGACAUGCUAAGUCCAUCUAACCAUGUGCCUAGUUUGAAUCCAUUGAAGGUGGAAACAUACCAGUACAAUUGUAUCUGUGAUUAUGAGUUAUGUCUGUAUCUGGUCCGGUCUUCUGCGAAGUUGGGUAAUUGCAGCGGUAUAUCGUUGGCCGAUGCGACUUCUGUGUUCCAUAUUUGUUGCUAUCUGCUUUUGUACUUCUAGUUGGAGAUCUUCGACGCCUCUGUAAGGUCCAUCCAUCUUAAUAGCUAUGCCCUUGUUGAGCUAUUUUCUGGGAACUUGGUCGCUUUAUGUUACUCUAGGAUAUUGAGGGUCUUCUGUUAAGCAUGGAUAAGUUGCCUCGGGGAAUUGUGCCACUCUUUGAAAAUAGAAUUAAUUUUCU
rnacentral:lncRNA from 1 species